rnacentral:rRNA from 1 species
AUUGAACGCUGGCGGCAGGCCUAACACAUGCAAGUCGAGCGGAGCGGCGGACGGGUGAGGAAUGCCUAGGACUCUGCAUGGUAGUGGGGGAUGACGUCCGGAAACGGGCGCUAAUGCCGCAUCCUCUCAGAUGAGCAUAGGUCGGAUUAGCUAGUUGGUGGGGUAAAGGCCUACCAAGGCGACGAUCCGUAACUGGUCUGAGAGGAUGAUCAGUCACACUGGAACUGAGACACGGUCCAGACUCCUACGGGAGGCAGCAGUGGGGAAUAUUGGACAAUGGGCGAAAGCCUGAUCCAGCCAUGCCGCGUGUGUGAAGAAGGUCUUCGGGUUGUAAAGUACUUUAAGUUGGGAGGCGUUACCCGCAGAAGAAGCACCGGCUAACUCCGUGCCAGCCGCCGCGGUAAUAC